rnacentral:lncRNA from 1 species
GUAUUUAUUGCUGUAGAAAUGAAUAUGUUUUAUAUUCUUGCCAAUUUGAUUCCGUCCUGUAUUUUAUUAAAAUCUUUACAAUAUUAUAAUAUUAUAGUUAAUAUAUUAAAACUACACAAAGGAUUUAUAUCUGAAUGUAUACAAUAUUGUGAUUAAAUGUGUAGCGGGAUAGGGAUAUGCGGUAAAAAGGUAUUGUUAUGCACAGACCAAUGUAAAGUCUAAAUCUUUGUCAUAGGUUGUAGAUCAAAUGAUUUGGAAUUUGUUUUGCACACAAUUUUUUUCACCAUUUGUGGCCUUUUUUAUUUGUUCUGAAUGCAGUUAUGUCUUUCCAAUUGCUCAUAUUUUGUUUUGAAGAUUAUUUAACUUUGGAAUAAUCUUAGUUUUCAUAUCUG